CACUGAGUGGCUGAAGUUUUAAGCGUUAGCCUCUUAAGCUAAAUUAUAGUAUUUACUCUCAGUGA
rnacentral:tRNA from 1 species